rnacentral:rRNA from 1 species
AUUGAACGCUGGCGGCAGGCUUAACACAUGCAAGUCGAGCGAGCGGCGGACGGGUGAGUAGUGUCUGGGAAACUGCCUGAUGGAGGGGGAUAACUACUGGAAACGGUAGCAAAUACCGCAUACCCUCAGCAGUGCCCAGAUGGGAUGAGCUAGUAGGUGGGGUAAUGGCACACCUAGGCGAAGAUCCCUAGCUGGUCUGAGAGGAUGACCAGCCACACUGGGACUGAGACACGGUCCAGACUCCUACGGGAGGCAGCAGUGGGGAAUAUUGCACAAUGGGCGCAAGCCUGAUGCAGCCAUGCCGCGUGUGUGAAGAAGGCCCUCGGGUUGUAAAGCACUUUCAGUGAGGAGGCGUUACUCGCAGAAGAAGCACCGGCUAACUCCGUGCCAGCCGCCGCGGUAAUUC